AAAAAUGAAGGUGUAUUACAUUAUGCUUGUCAAGGAGGUAACACGUCUAUUGUUCAACAUCUUAUCACAGAUUCUGAUAUUAACAAGAAAAGGCGUGAUGGUCUGACACCAGUCAUGGUGGCAGCUCUGUGUGGUAAAAAGACGUUUUUGACUUACUGGUGUCCAAUGCAGCUGAUCUCACACUGGUUGAUGAUGAUGAUAACAGUGUGUUACAUUAUGCUUGUCAAGGUGGUAACACGUCUAUUGUUCAACACCUCUUCAGAGUUUGUGAUAUUUACAAGAGAAGGCGUGAUGGUCGGACCCCAGUCAUGCUGGCAGCUCUGUGUGGUCAAAAAGACGUUUUUGACUUACUGGUGUCCAAUGGAGCUGAUCUCACACUGGUUGAUGCUAAAAAUGAAGGUGUAUUAUAUUAU